AAUUCAAAGCUUGUUAUAAUAGCACAACCAUGAGGUCUGUGAAAAAGGUACUUCAUUUUAAUACUCCCACAUAGACUCAAAUAUGGUCAACGAACCAAAGAACCUUCCAAGCAACAUCAAUAGCAUAUUGGAUUACCUUUCUUUUCUUCCUGUUAACUUGCAAGUUAACAAAUGUUGCAAGCUAUUCUGCUACAUUCCAUGAUCCCCACUCAAUACUACAGUGGAAAAAAACCUGCAGUCUAGAGGGUCUGCAAAAUGACUUGAUGGGGGAGCUUUGACGUCCAUAAUUACAUAAAGAGAAAUGUACCAGGAAUGCCAGAGGGGGGAGCUCAGAGCAAAGGGAAAGAUCACAUUUAAAAUGGGCAAGAAAGGGAACUGCUGAGAAUCUUCCUAGUUUUUAUACAGUAUCUUUUUUUGUCCUUUUUCUUUGUCCACUAUUUUUUGAAGGAUGGGUUCCAAAACCCUUUGAAAUAAACACUUCUUUUCAUCUUGUCCAAGAUAGUGAGAAAAAAGAAGAAAACAAGUAAAAGUGCUGCUGAGGCUAAGCAGUUUCAACAAUGGCCAGAUAUCUGAAACCUCUCUUUUAAAGAGGUCUCAGACUUACAACCUCUCCUCACCAAAGCAGUUUUGCGUGUAAAUGUGCCUACACACUUAGGACUGGCAUCUAAAGAUGCCCAAAGCAAAGUGAAGAAAUUGGCCUAAGACAAUCAUUAUUUCAAAGAGGUGUUUGGCCUCCUCCAGUUUCCUUAUAUGUUUACCUCUAAAGACAAAAAUGGAAUUUUAAUAGGUUUUUCCCAUAAUUAAAGUGACCAUCAAUAUGUAGUUACUACCCUUUUUACCACUAAGAAAAUACAGCUACUUUAUCCAACACUAAAGCAGCCACUUGUCAUUACCUUCUCUUAAUAACAACUUCCAAGGAUAAGCAGAUUUGCAGAGAUCUCAAGUUACAAAUAGGAAUCUUA